UACAGAGGGUGCAAGCGUUAUUCGGAAUCACUGGGCGUAAAGCGCUCGUAGGCUGUUAAUUAAGUCAGAUGUGAAAUCCCUGGGCUCAAUCCAGGACGUGCAUCUGAUACUGAUUGACUAGAGUGCAGGAGAGGAAAGCGGAAUUCCAGGUGUAGAGGUGAAAUUCGUAGAUAUCUGGAGGAACAACAGAGGCGAAGGCGGCUUUCUGGACUGUCACUGACGCUGAGGAGCGAAAGCGUGGGGAGCAAACAGGAUUAGAUACCCUGGUAGUCCACGCCGUAAACGAUGGAUACUAGAUGUCGGGGGCCUUACCCCCUCGGUGUCGCAGCUAACGCAUUAAGUAUCCCGCCUGGGGAGUACGGCCGCAAGGUUAAA
rnacentral:rRNA from 1 species